GAUCAGAUCUAGAGGCUCAUUCACGUUUUUCCACCAUUAGAGACCUGCAAGAGGCGAUUUUGGGAGCUAGAAAUCAUUUCCUUUCAUCUUUCCAAAUCUUAGGUAGUUUCUUUAUGCAAUUAGACUUUUGUUCUUGUUACUUUGUUGCCAUGAGUGGCUAAUACUCUUAUUUGGUUGACUUUGGCUAAAAACCAAUGAAUGUUUGUGGGUUUUGAAGGAUUUAUGUUGAUUAUCAAUUUAUUCCAUGUUUAUGAUUCUAGUUUGCAAUUCUUAUGCUUAUUUGAUGCUUUGAUCAUGAGCUUAGUAUUUGAUUGAGCAAUGGUUGAUUUAUUUCAUUGAUUUUGCAUUGGAUCAUUGAAUUUAUCUAGAACAAAGGCUUUAUGAUGGUAGAAAUCAUCUCUAGCUUAUGAAUCAUAUCUCCUUUAUGGAUGUGUAAGCAUUUGACAUCCUCUAGGAAUUGGGGAUUCCUUCAUUCUUAAGGCUAAUUGAUUUCUUGGGAUUAAUUGCUUCAAUUGACCCUUGAUCUUAAUUAAGAAGGUGUGUUGUGGGCUUCCCCAACCUCCAUACUACCUAUGAGGAAUCUUGGCAUAUCAUGCUUCAUGAUUGCUAUAACCAAUUUGGGAUGAAGGAUAAGCUUUGUAUUAGAUCCUAAUGAUAAACACACAAAUGUUCAUUGUGUUGAAUUGCCUUAGUUAACCAAUUAUUUCCAACCUUUGAGCAUCUCAUCAACUUGCUUAAUUGCAAGGUUUUUAGUUAUUCAAUUAUUUUAGUUUUCAAGUAAUCAAAANUGUAAUUUGCUUGGUGGUCUUGACAUCCCAUCAAGUUUUGGCGCUGUUGCCGGGGAAUUUGGUUAUUGUUAUUUGAUUGUUUAGGCCUAGGUCUACAAGAACCAGUGAACUACUCUACAAUCCGGAAAUUGAAAGAGAAGCAAAAAGGUUGAAAAAGUUAGCCAAACAAGCAAAGCAACAACAACUAGUUCAAGCUUCUUCCUCUUCUCCACUAAUCAGCAUAGAAGAUCAAGUUCAUACUUCAAGUGAUACCGACACAAAACCGAGUUCUCCAAUUGUUGGUCAUUCCUUUGAAGACAUUCCGUUUGAAAACUACAUAGCCAUUAAUCACACUCCACCUCAUAAUCCCAACCCAAACCCAAUCAAUCAAGGUGCCAAUACCCCACCCCAUCAACCAAGACAACAACCACAAGAACCUCUCAUUGAUAUGCCACCUUGGAAUCAAGCCCCUCCUCAAAACCAACCCAAUUAUCAACCACAAAACCAAAACUUCCACCAAAACAACCAACCUCAAAACAAUGCUUUUCAAGUUCAACAACAAGUACAUUACCCAAAUCAACCCAAUUACCAACCCCCUCAAAUGUACCAAAACCAAAUGUACCCACAACAACAACCCCCUACAACCAAUAUCCUAAUUACCAAGCUUAUCCACCACCAAUUUACAAUCACAACCAAUACCCUUACCCACCUUAUCAUCAACCACCCAAUUACUUGCAACAAUAUCCCAAUAACCCCAAUCCACCCAAUCCCCCUCAAGAGUUGACACUUAGACAAAUGAUGGAAACGGAUGUUACUCAUACACCUCUUGCUAUUGUUUAUCCCGCAAACCGCCGAGGGAUUGAAUUGAAAUCAAGUUUCAUCCAUCAACUAACCAAAUUCCAUGGGUUGGAUAGAGAAGAUCCUCAAAAGCAUUUGAAGUCCUUUCAUAUGAUAUGUGUUAGCAUGUUGCCCGAAAAUGUGACAUUGGAUGAUUUCAAGCUAACCGCCUUCCCGCUCACCUUGGAAGAUAAAGCUAGAGAGUGGUUAUUCAACUUACCACCGGGAUCUAUUCACACAUGGGAAGAGUUACUCAAGGCCUUCAAUAGCAAAUUCUAUCCCACCUCCCGCAUUUCAAGUCAAAGAAGUGACAUUUUGGGGAUUCAUCAAGGGGAAAAAGAAACAUUUCAUGAUUUUUGGGAGCGCUUCAAUAAUUUGUGUACAAGUUGUCCUCAACAUAAUAUACCCGAAAAACUACUUCUUCAACAAUUUUAUGAGGGUAUGAAUGAAAAAGAUCGGAGGAUGAUUGAUGCUUCAAGUGGUGGUGACAUCUUCAACAAAACCCCUCACGAAAUCCGAUUACUUUUUGGUACCAUUUCUCAAAAUCAAAGGUAUUUUGGGACUCGAAAUGACAUGAAGAGAAAUUCUAAACAAGUGGUUGGUGAAGUUAGCAACACUCAAUACUUGGAAUCAAAGCUCUUGGAUUUGACUAAUGUGUUAAGUCAAAUGGUGGUGGGAAGUGGUCAACAAUUGAUGGUAUAUGGUAUUUGUGCAAUAACGGGACAUUAUACGGAUAAGUGUCCCAUACUUGGAAGUGAACCGGAAGAUGUGAAUGCAAUGGGCGGAUAUCAAGGUCAACCAAGACCCACGGGAUUUCAAAACAAUUUCAACCCAAAUUGGAGGAAUACCCAAAACAACCCUUAUCCACCAAAGCAAAAUCCACCAAAUCUUUUGAUGAGACCCCAACAUCCACAAUACCAAUCCCAAAAACCUCCAUAUCCACAAAAUUCUUAUAACCCUCCAAAUUACCAACACCCUCCACAACAAGGUCAAUCAAGUGGUACCCAUCAAAUGAGCCUUCAAGAACUUGUCACUUCUCUUGCUCAAAGCCAAACCCAAUUUCAACAAGAAACCAAGAAUACUUUCUCCAACAUUCAAGCACAAAUUGGAGACUUGGCAACCGCUAUCAACAAGAUAGAACAAAGGGGUAGACUUCCAUCUCAAACCGAGAAGAACCCCAAUGUGAGUGCAAUAACUUUGAGAAGUGGCCAAACACUUGGAGAAAGCAACCCCAAAAGAGUUUCAAGAGAAGAAGAAGAUGAGGUUAUUGUUGUUGAGCCUUCGAAGGUUGAAGCUACUCCAAAGGAACCGAUUGUGCCAAAUGUUGAUCAACCCAAUCCUUCCAACAAAACCCAUCAAACCAUUGGUCAUACCACCUCCAUUCCCUUCCCGGUUUGCCUUUUCCAAGAAGAUAGAGGAAGAAAAUGAAUUAUUUGAAACUUUUCGCAAGGUCCAAAUCAACAUUCCACUAUUGAAUGCUAUUAAGCAAAUUCCAAGUUAUACAAAAUUCCUCAAGGAUUUAUGCACCAAGAAGAGAAAAUUCAAGGCAAAUGAAAAGAUUCAAGUCAAUGUUAAUGUGUCUACGGUUAUCCAAAAGAAGCUUCCACCCAAAUGCAAAGACCCGGGAAUGUUUGCUAUACCUUGUACCAUUGGUGAUUUACAUGUUGAAAGUGCUAUGUUAGAUGUUGGAGCCUCGAUCAAUGUGAUGCCAUAUUCGGUUUUUCAAUCUCUCAAUGUUGGACCUUUGGAAGAAACUGGAGUAAUCAUUCAAUUAGCAGACAAGUCAAGUGUGUCUCCAAGAGGAGUGUUGGAGGACGUGUUAGUACAAGUUAAUCAACUUGUUUUUCCAGCGGAUUUUUAUGUCAUUGAUCUUGUAGAGAAGACUCCUUCCAAAUCAUCUAUGAUCCUCCUUGGAAGACCUUUCAUGCAUACCGCUCACACAAUCAUUGAUGUCCAUAAAGGAAAGAUAACUAUGGAGUUUGAUGGAGAAACCAUUCACUUCAACAUCUUUGAAGGAAUGAGGUACCCUAGCAAUAUUUCUCCAUUGUAUCGGGUUGAUGUGAUUGAGCCAAUAAACAGGAUAAGCCCUAAUGUAUGCACAGACAAGAUAAUCAUGGAAGAUGAUUGUAAUCCUAAGAGGGAACCUCAAAGAAGAUUGGAUCCUCCAAUGAUGGAAGUGGUCAAGAAGAAGAUAAUUAAAAGGUUCAAAAGGUGCAAAGAGAAGAAAAAGGCAUUUCAUGACAAGCACAUAACCCAAAAACACUUUAUUCCGGGUCAAAAAGUUCUUCUUUAUCAUUCACGCUUAAAGCUAUUCCCGGGAAAAUUGCGAUCUCGAUGGCAUGGACCUUUUAUUGUUAUAAAAGUGUUUGAUCCUAGUGUGGUUGAAAUCAAGAGUUUGGAAACAAACCAAAUCUUCAAAGUGAAUGGGCACCAUUUGAAACUAUUUUAUGAAGGCUUUGACACGGGAGAAUUCGACAACGUAACAAUGGAAACACCGAUUUACGAAGGUUGACGGAAGCGGGGCUAUGUCUUGGCAAAGACGUUAAAUAAAUGCAUUGUGAAUAAAUAAUCUCCGCUUGAAGUUUUGGGUGUUUCUAAACUUGAAGUUGGCCUAAAAAUAAGCAUAUAGAAGUCUUCUAGUGAUUUGGUGAAGUUUGAAAAUUUCCAAAAAUUUGACCUUUAUGCGGGUGCCCGCGCAGACUUUGCGCGACCGACCCCAGCCGCGUAGGUCCCGAGUGCCAAAUUACACCAACAUGGGGUGCUCUCUGAUUGCUGCGUGCGGGUGCCUGCGCAGCCGUUGCGCGACCGACCCCCAGCUGUGCAGAUUCCGAGUUCCAAAUUACCCCAACAUGGGAUGUAUUCUGUCAUGUGCGUGCGGCUGCCCCCCACCCGCGCAAAGUUUGCGCGGGUACCCGCGCAAAUAUGUCAUUUCAUAAGAAAAUUUCGAGCCAUUUCAUAUGCGUCCUUUGAGCGACCAAGCUUUCAUCCAUGUGUAUUUAGGCGGCCAAGAACUCCAUCCAAGCAUCAUUAUGCGACCCAUGUGUUGCUUCCAUACCGUCCUCGCGGGCCUCCUCCACCUUGAUCCCGGUAUGAUCCUUCCUUACUCUCAUCCUAAGCAUUGAGGACAAUGCUUAAUUUUAAGCUUGGGGUGAGGUAAUCUAAUCUUUUAUUUUUAUUGCAUUUAGGUUGUAUAUAGUUGCAUUUAGAGUUAGUCAUUUAGGUCAUUCAUAAAAAUUGCAUAAAAAAUUCAAAAAUAUUGCAUAUUUUCUUUCUUUCUUUUCUAAUUUUCAUACUUUUUAAAUGCAUUCUAGUUUAAGUUCAUGCAUUCUUUUUCUCUCUUGUCUUCUCAUCCCUACAGGUACCAUAGCGCCGAGUCAUAAGUAUUGAAUCAUAGAUUGGUCCCGGGUCUUGAUAUGGAAUUCCUUGUAUUUGAUAAAUGGGACACGUUUUGAGCCUCACAGACCACUUUGAGACCGCUUGUGUGGGGGUCAGAUGCAGGUAGCUUGAUUGGGUCUAGGUGCGGAGGGAUGUGGUUGGUCAUGCCAAUGUGUGCGAGCAAAGACUAGCCCGGUAAGGUAUUUUGAAGACAUUGAAGAUAUUGAAGACUCGCAUCUUGGUUUUGGAGGGAGUACCCCUUAGUACUCCCGAGUCUCGUCCGAGCCUUGCUUAGUUAGAUUCUCACCAUCUUUUUAGGAUAGGUUAUCGUUUUUCUAGGGGUCUAGAGUAGAUAGUUAGAUAGAUUUUGUUUAUCACACCUUGCAUUGAGGUGUUUGAUGAACUUUGAAGUGAGUCCCCCAAUUCCCAUCUUUUGGGACCAAGUCUUUUCUAUAACACCCAUUUUUGAGUCAUUCCCCACCUUUUUUAGUUGAUAUUGGCACAUUGUCAAUGAUCAUUAGGUGUUCAUAUUAGCCUCUAUCUAUCACUCAAUUUUCACUAUUGGAGUCCUAUGUUACUUGGUGACAUUCCUUAGACCUUCCAAGAAGCAACACAAAUAAUGAAGAAAUUUGAAAAAGUGAAGAAAAUAAGAGCCUAUUAAAGAUGAUUCAAGAAAAGCAACAAAAGAAAAGAAGAAAAAAUGAAGAAAAAGAGCAACACAAAAAGAAGAACAAGAUUCCAAGUUCAAGACUUAUGUUAUAUAUCUAGUUUACAAAAAAAAAAAAAAAAAAAAAAAAAAAAAAAAAAAAAAAAAAAAAAAAAAAAANAAAAAAAAAUGGAUGUCAAGCAGCAAAUGUGAUUGAAGACCCAAUAACAGAAGUUCAAGAUUGAAGAUUUAGGUUGUUAGGUUUAGAUUUAGGUUAAGUAGAAUUUUUAUUAUUUUAUUUUAUUUUUGAUUUUUGGUGAGAAAAGGCCCCGACGAUGAGAUGGUAGACUGUAAAGGAUAGUACAAGGGAGAAGCCUCUGAAACCAGAUGUUUGCCUGGAGGCCGUGCUGCAAAGCCCUAUUUCAUUAUUAUACACUUUGGCCUGGCAAAUGUAGGAAUCAUAGUGUGUGAAUAGGCGCCUUUCCUUCGUGCACUAUGGUCUACAUUGGUGAUUUAAAGUGCCCCCACUGGGCGCAUCUCUGUUUCAUUUGUCUUGCACACCGCGACCGCAUCCAGCCGUGAUCUAUUCGCCCAUCAAGUGGUUAAGAAUGUGGUUUAUGGUUCUAAACUGGGGAACAUUUUGAAGAUGCGUAGGGUCUAUUGAAGGACUAAUUCUGACCAUGUUGACUGAUGUUGACCAAGUUCUAUGGUAUCUUUCUUUUUCCUUUUUAGAUAGUUCAUCCCGAGCUCAUUUUUAGUCUUGUUCUAACUUGACGACAAGUUAGGUUUAAGCUUGGGGUGAUUUGAUAGCUUAUUUUAUUUCCUUAUUUUAUUAGUUUAUUUUAGAUUUUUUUAGACCCUUUUUAUUAUUAUUGCAUUGUAUAUUCUUUAUUUUCUUUAUUAUGGAUCAUACCGGGUGCUUGUUAUAUUGCAUGAGAUAUUUUGUAGGUUUUUCGGUGCUUGUUACGGUUGCGGGUUGAUUGGAGACGGACUUAGUGGGCUUCUAAGGCAUUAUUGGGCUUGGCGGAAUCAAAGAGGAAGAAUUGGGCUUUGAAAGUGAUUGGCUUGGAUGAUUUGGGCUUGUGAAGAUGGAUCAUAAAAUGCUAAUUUUGGGCUUGGAGUAUCCAUUUGGUGGCUAAAUGAUAAUUGGUGCAUUUCAAAUUACAUGGACAAAGGGGGGACCAAAGGAAUCUUUGGUAGUGGAAGGGUGGAGUGGCUUGGUGGACCAAUAGCAUUACAACAACAUUUGCGCGGGUGGAAUUUUCGUCGCGCGGGUACCCGCGCAACUGCCCAAUUUGGGCAUUUUGGUCAUUUGGCUUGCCAUAACAUUUGGGGAUCAGAUCUAGAGGCUCAUUCACAUUUUUCCACCAUUGGAGACCUGCAAGAGGCGAUUUUGGGAGCUAGAAAUCAUUUCCUUUCAUCUUUCCAAAUCUUAGGUAGUUUCUUUAUGCAAUUAGAUUAUUGUUCUUGUUACUUUGUUGCCAUGAGUGGCUAAUACUCUUAUUUGGUUGACUUUGGCUGAAAACCAAUGAAUGUUUGUGGGUUUUGAAGGAUUUAUGUUGAUUAUCAAUUUAUUCCAUGUUUAUGAUUCUAGUUUGCAAUUCUUAUGCUUAUUUGAUGCUUUGAUCAUGAGCUUAGUAUUUGAUUGAGCAAUGGUUGAUUUAUUUCAUUGAUUUUGCAUUGGAUCAUUGAAUUUAUCUA
rnacentral:lncRNA from 1 species